rnacentral:rRNA from 1 species
GUACACGCUGUGACUAGCAUAUCAAUAAGCGGAGGAAAAGAAACUAACAAGGAUUCCCUAGUAACGGCGAGUGAAGCGGGAAGAGCUCAAAUUUGAAAUCUUAAAGGUUUUCCCUUGACGAAUUGUAGUUUAAAGAAGUGUUUUCUGUUGAGGUUUUGGUAAAAGUUCUUUGGAAUAGGACAUCAUAGAGGGUGAGAAUCCCGUAUUUGACCAUUUACUUUCAGCUUUGUGAUACACUUUCAAAGAGUCGGAUUGUUUGGGAAUGCAGUCCAAAAUGGGUGGUAAAUUUCAUCUAAAGCUAAAUAUUGGCGAGAGACCGAUAGCGAACAAGUACCGUGAGGGAAAGAUGAAAAGAACUUUGAAAAGAGAGUUAAACAGUACGUGAAAUUGUCAAAAGGGAAGCGUUUGACACCAGUGUUGUUUUUCUGAAAAUCAAUUAAAGAACUGUUUAUGCUAAGCUGUUUAGACUUUAUCAGCUAUCUGUUUAGUUUUGAGCUUUUCUUUAAUGCACUUUUCAGUUAACAAGUCAACAUCAAUUUCUUUUGCUGUAAAAAAGCUUGAGGAAGGUGGCUUGAGAUUCGUCUUAAGUGUUUAUAGCCUCUUGCCUAUGCAGUCGGAGAGAUUGAGGUCUGCAGCGUAGAUCCUUCGGGGCUAAAUGCAUUUGUGCUAAGUUAUAGCAUUUUAUAGACAACUUGUUGACUAUGAUUAGUCUUGUAGCUUACUCGCCUAUGCUAUUUUACCUACGCUUAGGAUGUUGACGCAUGAGAUAUACGC